GAUGAACGCUAGCGAUAGGCCUAACACAUGCAAGUCGAGGGGCAUCACAUGAAGUAGCAAUACGGAUGGUGGCGACCGGCGCACGGGUGAGUAACACGUAUGCAACCUGCCUUCAACAAGGGGAUAACCCGUUGAAAGACGGACUAAUACCCUAUAACACAGGGGUCCCGCAUGGGAAUAUUUGUUAAAGGACAACCGGUUGAAGAUGGGCAUGCGUUCCAUUAGCUAGUUGGCGGGGUAACGGCCCACCAAGGCAACGAUGGAUAGGGGAACUGAGAGGUUUAUCCCCCACACUGGUACUGAGACACGGACCAGACUCCUACGGGAGGCAGCAGUGAGGAAUAUUGGUCAAUGGACGCAAGUCUGAACCAGCCACGUCGCGUGAAGGAAGACGGCCCUACGGGUUGUAAACUUCUUUUAUACGGGAAUAAAGUGCCCCACGCGUGGGGUUUUGGCAUGUACCGUAUGAAUAAGGAGUCGGCUAACUCCGUGCCAGCGCCGCGGUAAUUACGCAGCG
rnacentral:rRNA from 1 species